UACGGGGGGGGCAAGCGUUGUUCGGAAUUACUGGGCGUAAAGGGUUCGUAGGUGGCCAACUAAGUCAGACGUGAAAUCCCCCGGCUUAACCUGGGAACUGCGUCUGAUACUGGGAGGCUUGAGUAUGGGAGAGGGAUGUAGAAUUCCAGGUGUAGCGGUGAAAUGCGUAGAUAUCUGGAGGAAUACCGGUGGCGAAGGCGGCAUCCUGGACCAUAACUGACGCUGAGGCGCGAAAGCUAGGGGAGCAAACGGG
rnacentral:rRNA from 1 species